rnacentral:rRNA from 1 species
UACGUAGGGUGCAAGCGUUAUCCGGAAUUAUUGGGCGUAAAGAGCUCGUAGGCGGUUUGUCGCGUCUGCUGUGAAAACUGGAGGCUCAACCUCGAGCCUGCAGUGGGUACGGGCAGACUAGAGUGUCGGUAGGGGAGACUGGAAUUCCUGGUGUAGCGGUGAAAUGCGCAGAUAUCAGGAGGAACACCGAUGGCGAAGGCAGGUCUCUGGGCCACUACUGACGCUGAGAAGCGGAAAGCAUGGGGAGCGAACAGG